GAAGGUCAUGGAAGCGCAGGGGAGAGCGAGGCGGCCGAGCCCAGGCAAAUCCUCGAGAAAGGCCGAGUGCGCGACGGCUCUGCGGGGAGGACCGCGCCUCCCCGAAUGCGGCCGCUGCUGCCGCUGCAAACAGUGCCUUGAGGAGAGGAAAGCGGGGAACCGUGUUUUCGCCGCCUCUGUAACCACUGCACACAAGAAAACCAGCUUCUGGGAGAGGGGGAUGAUUGUUGGGACUUUGCGAAUUACCUAAACAGCCCAGGGCCGAGGCGCCGCCGCUCGCGUCCUGGUCCUCCUGCCGGGUGUGGGGCUCCCCUGCCCGAGAUGGCCAGCGGGCGCGCCGAGAGUAUCCUGGAGCCAUCUAGUCUUGCCUCGGAGGCGGGGUGGGCUUAUUUGUGCGGAGAAGAAACGGAUCUCUUAAUGGGGUGAGAUUUUUCCUCCGUACAUUGUUCCCAUUUCCGCAGUUUCACUUGGCCUCGGUUUUCUAGCAGAGUAAUCACCAAAUGAAAUUAGCUGGAGAGCGUUUGAUGGCGCAGAAUCACGGUCUGAAGAUGUUUACGCUGUAUGCCGGACGCGUUUGAUGGUGUUCUCUUCGGCACAAUUAAUUUUGCAAAGUUCAGAAAUGUGCCAGACAGAGCCCCUGGCACGCAGUCAGGACUCUACAGACACACCUUGAGUAGGAAACAGGCUUGUUUGUUUCAUCUGUGAUUUAUGUGAUGCACCAGCACCAAGGCCAACGUGUUUUUUAAAGACCUUUCGAUGAAACUCCAAAGCAAUUUAUAAAUUGGCAAAAUGAAGCUUGUUUUGUAAAAUAACUCUUCCUUGUUGAUCAUGUAAUUAAAUGGGCAACAAAACACCUGAAAGGACAUUUACUGAAAAGUAGACUCCCAAAACAAAAAUAUGUAUUUCACAGCUAGAUACGGUCGCUAUUAGCGUCCUAAUGGCCAACUCCAUCCAUGUGCGUAUUUUGAACACUAAAAACGCCUCCUGUUACCCCUAAGACCUUGUUUGGAUAACAUUUUUCUAUUAUAAGUACUCGAAACCAACCCCAUUUAAGAUGUUUACCCUUAUUCUUGAGUCCUUGAUGGUUUGGGAAAUUUAUCAUUAUUCAUAUUGCACAAUCCUGUCACUGUCUUUUCCAUUAGGCACAGUGCCUAAGGUCCACAAUAUUUUUAGAGGCCCACAAAAAAUAUUUUAAUUUCUUUUCAAAUCAGAAGGAAAAAAAAUUUAGGUUUAAGAAAGUAUUUUAAUAUAUAUUAAUAUAUUUGUUUUUGUGCUAAUACAAUCUUAAAAUGUAUGUAUAUAUGUGUGUGUGUAUAUGUAUAUAUAUUUUAAUGGAGUAAGGGGCUCAACGAAGGCAAAAAGGCCUAGAGCCCAAGAAAAACAUGAUGUGGCCCUGUUGCCUGGGGUUGAAAAAUCCCAUUCCAUGAGAAGAAUUUAGUUUUAAGAAUAUUACAUAAAAUGCUCAUUUCUGUGGCCUUGCUAUAAUAGAAAGAUGGAGAUUCAGAGUAGUGAUAAUGGCUAACAUCCACCUGAUACACACCAUGUGUCCAUUACCUCUUAAUCCUCACAGCACACCUGUGAAAUAGGUACUAUUCUCACACUUAGGGGGUAAUGCAGGUUUUGUGGGGCCUGCAAUUUAUGCAAUUUGGGUGGUCCUCUUAAAGAAAAAGCAAAUACUGUGUAUUAGUCCGUUCUCACACUGCUAUAAAGAACUGCGCGAGACUGGGUAAUUUAUAAAGGAAAGAGGUUUAAUUGACUCACAGUUCCACAUGGCUGGGGAGACCUCAGGAAACUUAACAAUCGUGGUGGAAGGAGAAGCAAGUACCUUCUUCACAAGGAAGCGGAAAGAAUUGUGAGCGGAGGAACUUGCCAAACACAAAACCGUCAGAUCGCGUGAGAAUUCAGUUACUAUCACGAGAACAACACGGGAAAACUGUCCCCAUAAUCAAGUCAUUUCUCUCCCUAACAAGUGAGGAUUACAAUUCAAGAUGAGGUUUGGGUAGGAACACAAAGCCUGACCCUAUCCCACAGCAUGUCCAGGCUGCCCUAGCACCACCCAAUAGAAGGGAAAAUGGCAGAGGGAAAGUCCUAGUGGAAAGAGACCUCAGUCUCAGCUAAUUGUGGUGACAAUAUAUUGCUUUUGCAAAUUGUACAUAAACAUAUGACCAGGUGAAUGUAUCGCCAAGGCUCCUGCCAAGGCCUGGGAUGGAGGCCUAGAGAAGAUGCCCGAAAGUUUAUGCUGUGUGAGCUUCACAGAAGACCUGCCUUCCAUGUAUACCCAUUUUACAGGACUCUCCAGAACUCUAAGAUGUCAGAACAAACUUUGGGACAUAGCUGGUCUUGUAGCAAAGGAUACAAAGAAUAGAUGAACUACACCUGGCUCUUCGAGUGUCUGAUAGAAGAAACACACCUUACCCACAGCCAUGUUACAUUGGCCAAAACAGGUCACGUGGCCACACUUGGGGCCAGUGAAGUAGAGAAGGAUAAUAUUUCUACAGAAAAGGGAUACCACAGGGAGGAGCAGCCAACAUUUUGAACAGAAAUAUAAUCUGCUAUAUAGGACAUUUCAUAAAGUAGGUCAAAUAUUUUUGGAAAAAAAAAAGAGGGGAGUCUAUGUAUGGUCAGUUAAGUUUAGGAACUCCUACAUAAUACCCAUCUCUAGAGCUAUGCAAUGUAAACCAGCACACCGAAGGCUCUCAGAAGUCCUGCAAUAGAAAAAUAAAAUCAAGAUUGUUUAA
rnacentral:lncRNA from 1 species